ACGCACGCUGGCGGCGUGCUUAACACAUGCCAGUCGCACGGAAAGGCCCUGCUUUUGUGGGGUGCUCGAGUGGCGAACGGGUGAGUAACACGUGAGUAACCUGCCCUUGACUUUGGGAUAACUUCAGGAAACUGGGGCUAAUACCGGAUAGGAGCUCCUGCUGCAUGGUGGGGGUUGGAAAGUUUCGGCGGUUGGGGAUGGACUCGCGGCUUAUCAGCUUGUUGGUGGGGUAGUGGCUUACCAAGGCUUUGACGGGUAGCCGGCCUGAGAGGGUGACCGGCCACAUUGGGACUGAGAUACGGCCCAGACUCCUACGGGAGGCAGCAGUGGGGAAUAUUGCACAAUGGGCGGAAGCCUGAUGCAGUAACGCCGCGUGCGGGAUGACGGCCUUCGGGUUGUAAACCGCUUUCGCCUGUGACGAAGCGUGAGUGACGGUAAUGGGUAAAGAAGCACCGGCUAACUACGUG
rnacentral:rRNA from 1 species